AUAUGAUGAUUGAUGAUUAUUGAGUUAAUAUAUAUGAAUAUCUUGAUGAUUAGCCAUGAGAUAUAGAUUUUUCUAUUAGGUUAGUUUACCUAAAAUUGGGAUGUUGAGAUCCUAUGAAUCAAUUGAUGUAUUGAUGAUGGAUUUGAGUUUAUGAGAUGAUCUAGAUGAUUAAUGAUGGAUGAGAUUGAAGCUUGAGGUUGAGAAAUGAAAAAUGAAAAGUGUUAGUUUGAGGAAGAAGAUGACAUACAUAUGUAUCUAUAUGUGAUCUUGUUUUAUGAUGUUGAUUUGUGCUAAUUGGUAACCUAGGAUGUUAGAACUAUGAUUUGAUCAAUAGGUUAUACAUGAUUAGUGAUAUUUUCAAAAGAGUUUAGUUUAAUAAAAAUUAGGACUUUUUGCCUAUGUGUUAUUUAAGUUAUUUUGGCUUAAGAUAUAUGUAUUUGAGCAUGAUAUUAGUGUAUAAUUAUGUUUGAGUAAGUCUUUU
rnacentral:lncRNA from 1 species